rnacentral:rRNA from 1 species
AUAGCUAAUGAAAGCAUAAGGGAUCCACCUCUUCACCGUGUCUCAUUUGGCCGAACAGAGAAGUUAAACCUUAUCACGCCGAUGGUACUGCGAAAGCGGAAGAGUAGGUAAUCGCCACA